AAUGACACCCACCUCCGUCUGUCUUAUUUAUUCCCAAAUCCCCGUCAGUCACAUCUUAAAUAGAGCUGGCUGGCUGCAUAUGCCUUUACCCUAACACCUAUUCCUAUGGCACUAGCAGUAAUAUUAAUCGCCAAAACCUAUCAAAUCUCAUAAUCUUCGAUCCUUUCUUGAUCUCUCAAGUUUCAUUUCACGUGGGUUUCUCAAAGUGUUGCUUACACAUUUUUUUUGGCAUUCUGUCCACCUCCUCCACCCUUAGUUUACUUGAUCGAUCUCAUCACUAAUUUGCGACCGGAGGUGGACAAACUGUCAACAGAGUUGUGUUGGCUUCUCUUUGUAAAAUCUUCCUGAUAUUUUUAUAUAUACACAUCUCAAUCAAUUCAUUCUUUUUACCUCGCAUAUUAGCUGCCAUGCCAAACUCCUGUGGAUUACUGAGAGACACGGGAAUCAGGAUCCUCAUAGAAUUUCCUUGCUAAAAAGAUGGAUGGUGAAAUCAGAUAAAAAAAGUCGCUUUCUGCCUCUGCUUAUAAUCUAUUUUCCAUUUAUUUGUAAAGUGGAUACCUUCAUAAUUUUCUUUCACUUUAAUUUAAAAGUUUUCCCUUGUAAUUUCCUGUAAUAAUUUGUAUAGAUUGGGUAUAAUUACAACGAAGUAUUUAUCUUUUAACGUUUUUUAUAUUUAUUUAUACAAACCUGUAUUUCUAAGAUGUAUUUACGGUCUAGGGUUUCAGGAGCCUGCUCUUGCUUUCACCUCUUUAGGGUUGAAUCGAACGCCUUUGCACUAAUUUUAUUUUUUAUAAUUGGUUGAUGCUUGUUGAUUAUAGAUCUAGCCACCAGAAGGGUACUAGAAAUAAUUGGUCUUUUUAUCGAAUUAUUUUACUGAUUUUAAGUGCUAUUGCCAUUUUUUUUUGAUGUGAUAUUGUCAUCUAGAUCUUAAUUAAUUUAACGCGUUUAUUUUUUCUGCAAGCUGCAGUAGGAGAUUAUGCAUGGCCGCCACUGAUCUGUAUUGUGUUGAAUAUGCUUCUCUUAUCCUGACUAAAAAUUAAUUUAAAAUUUAAAAAUUGGUAGCGAUUUAAUUGCUUUUCAUGAUUUGCGUAUUCGAAGAGGCAACAUAGUACUACCAUCAAGCAAAGCAUUAAUUUACGACGACUCAUAUUUCCUUCCUUUCUUCCCUAUUGCCGAAUACUUUUUCUUCAUUUCAUACAACCUUUAUCUGAACACAAAUCUAGGCCCAUGAUUGAACACUCUGACAUCAACGUUUUAUUCAAAAGUGAGACAAUUAAGCACACUCUUUUCAUGGCGCGUGGGUUAAUCAACGUUGGUAAAGUCAGUGAAUACACCAGUACUACUACUAAGCGUAUAUUAUAUCCACCGGUCUCUAGACUCUAAUGCUGUAUUUUUCUCCAUCUUUGUACGUUUUCUUUUCUUAGUUUGACUACUAGGUUACUAGGUCAUAGCUUGUUUGGCCUUUUAA